AUGAACGCUAGCUACAGGCUUAACACAUGCAAGUCGAGGGGCAGCAUGGUCUUAGCUUGCUAAGGCCGAUGGCGACCGGCGCACGGGUGAGUAACACGUAUCCAACCUGCCGUCUACUCUUGGACAGCCUUCUGAAAGGAAGAUUAAUACAAGAUGGCAUCAUGAGUCCGCAUGUUCACAUGAUUAAAGGUAUUCCGGUAGACGAUGGGGAUGCGUUCCAUUAGAUAGUAGGCGGGGUAACGGCCCACCUAGUCUUCGAUGGGUAGGGGUUCUGAGAGGAAGGUCCCCCACAUUGGAACUGAGACACGGUCCAAACUCCUACGGGAGGCAGCAGUGAGGAAUAUUGGUCAAUGGGCGAGAGCCUGAACCAGCCAAGUAGCGUGAAGGAUGACUGCCCUAUGGGUUGUAAACUUCUUUUAUAAAGGAAUAAAGUCGGGUAUGGAUACCCGUUUGCAUGUACUUUAUGAAUAAGGAUCGGCUAACUCCGUGCCAGCAGCCGCGGUAAUACGGAGGAUCCGAGCGUUAUCCGGAUUUAUUGGGUUUAAAGGGAGCGUAGAUGGAUGUUUAAGUCAGUUGUGAAAGUUUGCGGCUCAACCGUAAAAUUGCAGUUGAUACUGGAUAUCUUGAGUGCAGUUGAGGCAGGCGGAAUUCGUGGUGUAGCGGUGAAAUGCUUAGAUAUCACGAAGAACUCCGAUUGCGAAGGCAGCCUGCUAAGCUGCAACUGACAUUGAGGCUCGAAAGUGUGGGUAUCAAACAGGAUUAGAUACCCUGGUAGUCCACACGGUAAACGAUGAAUACUCGCUGUUUGCGAUAUACUGCAAGCGGCCAAGCGAAAGCGUUAAGUAUUCCACCUGGGGAGUACGCCGGCAACGGUGAAACUCAAAGGAAUUGACGGGGGCCCGCACAAGCGGAGGAACAUGUGGUUUAAUUCGAUGAUACGCGAGGAACCUUACCCGGGCUUAAAUUGCAAAUGAAUUAUGGGGAAACCCAUACGCCGCAAGGCAUUUGUGAAGGUGCUGCAUGGUUGUCGUCAGCUCGUGUCGUGAGAUGUUGGGUUAAGUCCCGCAACGAGCGCAACCCUUGUUGUCAGUUACUAACAGGUUCCGCUGAGGACUCUGACAAGACUGCCAUCGUAAGAUGUGAGGAAGGUGGGGAUGACGUCAAAUCAGCACGGCCCUUACGUCCGGGGCUACACACGUGUUACAAUGGGGGGUACAGAGGGCCGCUACCACGCGAGUGGAUGCCAAUCCCCAAAACCUCUCUCAGUUCGGACUGGAGUCUGCAACCCGACUCCACGAAGCUGGAUUCGCUAGUAAUCGCGCAUCAGCCACGGCGCGGUGAAUACGUUCCCGGGCCUUGUACACACCGCCCGUCAAGCCAUGGGAGCCGGGGGUACCUGAAGUGCGUAACCGCGAGGAGCGCCCUAGGGUAAAACUGGUGACUGGGGCU
rnacentral:rRNA from 1 species